rnacentral:tRNA from 1 species
ACAAAUGGCUAAUGUGUUUGGCUGUUAUUCAAAAGGCUGGUGGUUCAAGUCCACC